GUGGGGAAUCUUGCGCAAUGGGCGAAAGCCUGACGCAGCCAUGCCGCGUGAAUGAUGAAGGUCUUAGGAUUGUAAAAUUCUUUCACCGGGGACGAUAAUGACGGUACCCGGAGAAGAAGCUCCGGCUAACUUCGUGCCAGCAGCCGCGGUAAUACGAAGGGGGCUAGCGUUGCUCGGAAUUACUGGGCGUAAAGGGCGCGUAGGCGGACAGCUUAGUCAGAGGUGAAAGCCCAGGGCUCAACCUUGGAAUUGCCUUUGAUACUGGCUAUCUUGAGUAUGGAAGAGGUAUGUGGAACUCCGAGUGUAGAGGUGAAAUUCGUAGAUAUUCGGAAGAACACCAGUGGCGAAGGCGACAUACUGGUCCAUUACUGACGCUGAGGCUCGAAAGCGUGGGGAGCAAACAGGAUUAGAUACCCCUGUAGUCC
rnacentral:rRNA from 1 species